rnacentral:rRNA from 1 species
UACGGGGGGGGCAAGCGUUGUUCGGAAUUACUGGGCGUAAAGGGCUCGUAGGUGGCCAACUAAGUCAGACGUGAAAUCCCUCGGCUUAACCGAGGAACUGCCUGUCAGACUGUAAGGCUUGAGACCGGGAGAGGUGAGUGGAAUUCCCAGUGUAGCGGUGAAAUGCGUAGAUAUUGGGAGGAACACCAGUGGCGAAGGCGGCUCACUGGACCGGUACUGACGCUGAGGCGCGAAAGCGUGGGGAGCAAACAGG